rnacentral:rRNA from 1 species
CGUGGGGAACCUGCCCCAUAGUCUGGGAUACCACUUGGAAACAGGUGCUAAUACCGGAUAAGAAAGCAGAUCGCAUGAUCAGCUUUUAAAAGGCGGCGUAAGCUGUCGCUAUGGGAUGGCCCCGCGGUGCAUUAGCUAAUUGGUAAGGUAAAGGCUUACCAAGGCGAUGAUGCAUAGCCGAGUUGAGAGACUGAUCGGCCACAUUGGGACUGAGACACGGCCCAAACUCCUACGGGAGGCAGCAGCU